GUGCUCGCUUUGGAAGCACAUAAACUAAAAUUGGAACGAUAUAGAGAAAAUUAGCAUGGCCUCUGCGCAAGGAUGACACGCAAAUUCAUGAAAUGUUCCAAUUUUUU